rnacentral:rRNA from 1 species
GUGCCAGCCGCCGCGGUAAUACCGGCAGCCCAAGUGAUGGCCGCUGUUAUUGGGCCUAAAGCGUCCGUAGCUGGCCGCACAAGUCCGUCGGGAAAUCCGCCCGCUCAACGGGCGGCCGUCCGGCGGAACCUGUGUGGCUUGGGACCGGGAGACCUGAGGGGUACGUCCGGGGUAGGAGUGAAAUCCUAUAAUCCUGGACGGACCACCAAUGGGGAAACCACCUCAGGAGGAUGGACCCGACAGUGAGGGACGAAAGCUAGGGUCUCGAACCGGAUUAGAUACCCGAGUAGUCC